rnacentral:rRNA from 1 species
GCGUUGUUCGGAAUUACUGGGCGUAAAGAGCUCGUAGCGGUUCAACAAGUCGGUCGUGAAAGUUCAGGGCUCAACCCUGAAAUGUCGAUCGAUACUGUUGUGACUAGGAUACGGCAGAGGUGAGUGGAAUUCCGAGUGUAGAGGUGAAAUUCGUAGAUAUUCGGGGGAACACCAGUGGCGAAGGCGGCUCACUGGCUCGAUACUGACGCUGAGGUACGAAAGUGUGGGGAGCAAACAGGAUUAGAUACCCCUGUAGUCCUGGCCGUAAACGAUGAACACUAGGUGUCGGGGGAAUCGACCCCCUCGGUGUCGUAGCCAACGCGUUAAGUGUUCCGCCUGGGGAGUACGCACGCAAGUGUGAAACUCAAAGGAAUUGACGGGGGCCCGCACAAGCGGUGGAGCAUGUGGUUUAAUUCGAAGCAACGCGCAGAACCUUACCAGUCCUUGACAUGGGGAGUUUGGUUUCCAGAGAUGGAUUCCUUCAGUUCGGCUGGCUCCCACACAGGUGCUGCAUGGCU